UUUACUACGUCACGGGUGUUCAACAGCAAUGUAACGCAGGUAACUAGGUGGGAGGUUCACUUACCUGAUUAGAGCACGGGCCAGUCAAGAGUUGAAACGUGGACCAGUAAAAUCCGCGUUUCAACUCCAGUACUGAAUAAGCACGGGCUAUAAGCGGGAGCGAGCAUUGGUUUUGACAUGUCUCGUCAGGAGAGAUGCGCCACCGCACUCAGCACAGGCAGCAGUGGAGGACAGUGAGAGGAUCUUUACUGAGCUGAUCUGCUACAUUGAGAAAAGACGCUCUGAGUUGAAGGAGCUGAUCAGAGCUCAGGAGAAGACUGAAGUGAGUCGGGCUGAAGGACUCUUGGAACAACUGGAGCAGGAGGUUGCUGAGCUGAGGAGGAGAGAUGUUGAGUUGAAGCAGCUCUCACACACAGAGGAUCACAUCCAUUUCCUCCAGAGUUUCCAGUCUCUCUGUGUCUCUCCUGGAUCUGAGGUCUUACCCAGUACUGUCUAUCCACAUAUCUCCUUUGAGCAUGUCAAGAAAUCAGUCUCUGAACUGAAACAUCAAAUACAGGAUGUAUGCAAAAAGGAAAUGGACAGGAUAUCUGGGGAAGUGACUACAGUUCAGAUUGGACCACCUGCUGAGCCCAAGACCAGAGAGGAUUUCUUAAAAUACUCCUGCCAGCUGACAUUGGAUCCCAAUACAGCAAAUCAGUACCUGUGUCUGUCUGAGGGGAACAGAAAGUGAAAUGGAGUGAUGAGGUCCAGUCCUAUCCUGACCAUCCUGACAGAUUUACCUCCUAUAAACAGGUGUUGUGUAGAGAGGGUCUGUCUGGAGUCUGUUACUGGGAGGUAGUGAGGAGUGGGAAAGAAGUUGUUGUAGCCGUCUCAUAUAAAGAGAUCAACAGGAAAGGAGAUGGUAAUGAGUGUUGGUUUGGUAAUAAUGUUCAGUCCUGGGUGUUAUUUUGCUCUACAUCCAGAUGUUGUUUCAGCCACAACAAUACCAGUACUGAUAUCCCUGUCCCCUGCUCCUCCAGAGUAGGAGUGCAUCUGGACCACAGGGCAGAAACUCUGUCCUUCUACAGUGUCUCUGACACAAUGACCCUCCUCCACAGAGUCCAGACCACAUUCACUCAGCCACUCUAUACUGGGUUCUAUGUUUUUAAUGGAUCUGUGAAGAUACUGACACCUAUUCAGUGAUCCAUCUAUCAGUCUGCUGGUAUCAAUGUAUGAAUGAUUAACUGUGACUAAAGUUUGAUUUAAGAUUACAGAUAUCAUAUAGAACAGCAUGAUAAAGUUACACAUUUUCAUGUACACAGGUUUCAAUCAUAUCAAGUGGAAUAACCGGAGCUAUUGGUUCCUGAAUGAACAUGAGCACAUAACGAGACAUGCACCUUAACAGUGAAGGGAGUUGAUUGACAGCUGAAAUGAACCAAUCAUCUUGGAGUUUAGUUUAGUCAGUGUCUAGAACCCUGCUGAACUAUUUUAACAGAAGUUUCUUCUUGAUACAUGGUAAGUGUUUUGAUCUGGUUGUUUAUCUGUCAACAGUAAUAUAUUUGUACAUAUACAGUAUCUCACAAAAGUGAGUACACCCCUCACAUUUUUGCAUAUAUUUGAUUAUAUCUAUUCAUGUGACAACAUUGAGGAAAUUACACUUUGCUACAAUGUAAAGUAGUGAGUGUACAGCUUGUAUAAUAGCGUAAAUAUGCUGUCCUUUCAAAAUAACUCACACAGCCAUUAAUGUCUAAACCACUGGCAACAAAUGUGAGUACACCCCUAAGUGAACAUUUUCUAAUUUAGCAGUGGCAACCUUUGAAGCUCUGGUGAACUCCAUGCCCAAGAGGGUUAAUUAACAUUUACCUUUGGUUCAUGUUCAGCAUACAUCUGUUCAGUAUUUUACGUGUGAUCAUAGAUUUGGGAAUCUUUCAUAACUGUCAUUUGUAGACAAAGUUAUGCUUUGUAGUAUAUUCUACCUGUACUGUCGUUUUUCAAUUUCAAUGAAACUUAAUAAAGAAUUUGCUGUAACUUUCAUCAUUAUAAAGACCGUUUGAUUGCAUGUUUAAAUGGCCCCUGUAUGUCCUCAUAUGUCCUGUCAGGUGCUCUUGUUGAUUGAAGCAUUUACCCACAGUUGCUGCACUCUUACAACUUAUCUCCUGUGUAAAUUCCUGGCUAAGUUUAGUUGAUAUCAAAAUGAUCAG